CUGCGUCCAGGUGCCCCUGGCCCACAGCCGUAGGGCCUGGUACGGCGCCAACAGGGUGGACAGAAACAUGGGCACCCAGGUCACCAGCGCCAAUGGCAGCUGUCCGAAGCUGAAGAUCAGUAGGUCAAACUCCAGCAGCAGCCUUGGAGUGGGGAAGGAGAGACAAAGUAGACAAGUGAAGCCCAUUCUUGUCCCCUUCCUCUUCAGUCUGAGCUCCUGGAAGAUGAACUGAGUUCAUCUGCAUCUCGUUACUGGGCCUCAAGAAAUAGCAGCCCAACCUUCAGUUUGACCUGGGAACAAAACGUGGCAAGCCAGCCAGGAGAGACCGGGAUGGUGCUGUGUUCAGCCACCAGUGGCUUGCGAUGAGACAGUCUUCAGGAGGGUCCAAGCAGCUGCCCGUGAGAUUUUUCCUGGGGACCCUCCCGAGGGCUGUCCCGUGUGCAAAACUGCACGUCCCUUUCACUACUGGGGAAGAACAGAGAUCAGAAGCAGACACGCUCAAAGGGUGCUGCCUCCAAGGCCCCGAAACAGAGAGUGCUACUGCGAACAAAUCAACCUCUUCCACUCCACUGCUGCUUUUGGUGCCCCAUAACGACGACCCCCUCUCAGCAGGAAGUAGCCAGAAAGAUUACGACUCCCCAUCUCCCUGCGAUUCUCAUGAUAAAUAAAUAUCCAUGCAUGAUAAAAAUCGUGUAAAUUGACAGUGGGGACUGUGACAAGCAGGUCUCACUAAUGCAGACCUCCAUAACAACUGUUUCAGUACUGACUGAGUGGUUAAGUUAAAUGUUAAAAACCAGUGCCCUUAUACAAAGGCUGGAAUGUAACAAAAGCCCACCAAGAGUUUUGCCUAGGCCUUUCCUGAACCUCAAAGCAUGAUUAAACAAGUUUUGCUGGGGGUCUGAAGAAACUCCCCAAACCUCCGUUAUUUAGCAGGAGAUAAGAGAAGGGUAAUCACCCCAGCACUUGGACCCAUUUAGAUUAAGUAAACUUACUGAGGCUCCAGAAGAAGGUCUUCAAGACUCAGACCUUAGUUAUAGAUUAAAAGAAGUUAAUCACUUAUGUCUUUAGAUGAAUGCACACCUACACAUAGAUGUAGAGCUUAGAAGGUAUAUAUGCUCUGGAAAUUGUAAUUUUUAGUUGGCCUGGUGAUAAUUUCCAGGCCUUCUCCCUGUAACUGGUUACAGAAAUAAAAACUCACUUCCUCCCCA